UACGUAGGGUGCGAGCGUUGUUCGGAUUCACUGGGCGUAAAGGGUGCGUAGGUGGCAUGGUAAGUUUGAUGUGAAAGCUCAGGGCUUAACCCUGAAAUGGCAUUGAAUACUACUGUGCUGGAGGUUUGGAGGGGGGACUGGAAUUCUUGGUGUAGCAGUGAAAUGCGUAGAUAUCAAGAGGAACACCAGUGGCGAAGGCGAGUCCCUGGACAACACCUGACACUGAGGCACGAAAGCUAGGGGAGCAAACAGG
rnacentral:rRNA from 1 species